rnacentral:rRNA from 1 species
AUUGAACGCUGGCGGCAUGCCUUACACAUGCAAGUCGAACGGUAACAGGUUAAGCUGACGAGUGGCGAACGGGUGAGUAAUGUAUCGGAAUGUGCCCAGUCGUGGGGGAUAACUGCUCGAAAGAGCAGCUAAUACCGCAUACGACCUGAGGGUGAAAGCGGGGGAUCGCAAGACCUCGCGCGAUUGGAGCGGCCGAUAUCAGAUUAGGUAGUUGGUGAGGUAAAGGCUCACCAAGCCGACGAUCUGUAGCUGGUCUGAGAGGACGACCAGCCACACUGGGACUGAGACACGGCCCAGACUCCUACGGGAGGCAGCAGUGGGGAAUUUUGGACAAUGGGCGCAAGCCUGAUCCAGCCAUGCCGCGUGCGGGAAGAAGGCCUUCGGGUUGUAAACCGCUUUUGUCAGGGAAGAAAAGGUUCUGGCUAAUACCUGGGACUCAUGACGGUACCUGAAGAAUAAGCACCGGCUAACUACGUGCCAGCCGCCGCAGUAA